CAGUAGCCGCGGUAAUACGUAGGGUGCAAGCGUUAAUCGGAAUUACUGGGCGUAAAGCGUGCGCAGGCAGUGAUGUAAGACAGUUGUGAAAUCCCCGGGCUCAACCUGGGAACUGCAUCUGUGACUGCAUCGCUGGAGUGCGGCAGAGGGGGAUGGAAUUCCGCGUGUAGCAGUGAAAUGCGUAGAUAUGCGGAGGAACACCGAUGGCGAAGGCAAUCCCCUGGGCCUGCACUGACGCUCAUGCACGAAAGCGUGGGGAGCAAACAGGAUUAGAUACCCGAGUAGUCCCUGUCUCUUAUAC
rnacentral:rRNA from 1 species